rfam:Anolis carolinensis chromosome 4, whole genome shotgun sequence.
CCUGAGGGUUUGAACACCCUAUAAGCACCAGAUCUUGUCUGAUCUUGGAAGCUAAGCAGGAACAGCCCCGGCGAGGACUUGGAUGGGAGACCACCAAUGAAUACCAGGUGCUGUAGACU